rnacentral:rRNA from 1 species
UCCGUAGGUGAACCUGCGGAAAGGAUCAUUG